GACGAACGCUGGCGGCGUGCCUAAUACAUGCAAGUAGAACGCACAGUAUAUACCGUAGCUUGCUACACCAUAGACUGUGAGUUGCGAACGGGUGAGUAACGCGUAGGUAACCUGCCUGGUAGCGGGGGAUAACUAUUGGAAACGAUAGCUAAUACCGCAUAAUAUUAAUUAUUGCAUGAUAAUUGAUUGAAAGAUGCAACUGCAUCACUACCAGAUGGACCUGCGUUGUAUUAGCUAGUAGGUGAGGUAACGGCUCACCUAGGCGACGAUACAUAGCCGACCUGAGAGGGUCUUCGGCCACACUGGGACUGAGACACGGCCCAGACUCCUACGGGAGGCAGCAGUAGGGAAUCUUCGGCAAUGGACGAAAGUCUGACCGAGCAACGCCGCGUGAGUGAAGAAGGUUUUCGGAUCGUAAAGCUCUGUUGUAAGAGAAGAACGGGUGUGAGAGUGGAAAGUUCACACUGUGACG
rnacentral:rRNA from 1 species